rnacentral:rRNA from 1 species
UACAGAGGUCCCGAGCGUUGUUCGGAUUCAUUGGGCGUAAAGGGUGCGUAGGCGGCGGGGCAAGUCUGAUGUGAAAUCCCGGGGCUCAACCCCGGAACUGCAUUGGAUACUGCCUUGCUCGAGUACUGGAGAGGGAACUGGAAUUUACGGUGUAGCAGUGAAAUGCGUAGAGAUCGUAAGGAAGGCCAGUGGCGAAGGCGAGUUCCUGGACAGUUACUGACGCUGAGGCACGAAGGCCAGGGGAG